rnacentral:misc_RNA from 1 species
GAUGAAGAACGUAGCGAAAUGCGAUAAGUAAUGUGAAUUGCAGAAUUCAGUGAAUCAUCGAAUCUUUGAACGCACAUUGCGCCCGCCAGUAUUCUGGCGGGCAUGCCUGUUCGAGCGUCAUUUCGACCAUCAAGCCCCCGGCUUGUGUUGGGGACCUGCGGCUGCCGCAGGCCCUGAAAACCAGUGGCGGGCUCGCUAGUCACUCCGAGCGUAGUAGUUACAUCUCGCUCAGGGCGUGCUGCGGGUUCCGGCCGUUAAAAGCCUUAUUUACCCAAGGUUGACCUCGGAUCAGGUAGGAAGACCCGCUGAACUUAAGCAUAUCAAUAAGCGGAGGA